CCUAAGGGCUUUUCAAAAGUCACCUCAUUAACAUAACAAAGACAACUUUAUUGCUGUCAUCACAGGAAAUCCCAGGCUGUGAGCCAGUAACUGUGGAAAAAGACCAAAUACAUAUUGGAAAUACAUUUUGGUCAUCGAAAUGACCAAAUAUGUAUUUCCUAUGAAUCACAAUAUUGUAUUGGGGCUGCUCAUUCAGAAUCCACUGAGAAGAAAGGACUUGGCCUCCAAGCCUGUGUGGUUCCAUCUGAUGUCAGCCUGACUCUGACCCAGGAACCUACCCCAUCCUUCCAGAGGUAAUACUUUAAUGUCUUACAACGUACAGUGUUUGAUAUUUAGCGAAAAUAAAAUUCUGAAGCAUUAACUUGCUGGCAUCUUGGAACUACCGUCUGAGUCUGGAAGAGUGAAGAAGGUCAAACCGAAGCCAGGAUAAAGUGCCUACUGUAAGUCCUGAGGACAGCGACAUCCUGUUACAGCUUUUCCGAGACGCAGAAGGGUUAAUGAGCCUCCCAGAAGCCCUGACUUCCUCCCAGUGAGUCACUGGGCACAGAGGAGACCAGACCCAUAUAUCCUCAUGACAUCUAUUGGCGAGAAGUGGUUGCUGCCCCCUUUCAGACCAAGCAAGGACCAUUUGUCAUAGUCAACACCACGUGCUCUGACUAGUCUCUGUGGACAUUUGAUUUGUGCGAUCCCAGAUAAAGCAGAAGACCACAUAAAGAAACAGUGGCAAGACACUGUGUAACCCAGCUUAUUCCUUUCUUCAGCAGAUACAAAUAGUUACACCGUGCUUCAACAUGGCAGACACUAGCCAGGCAAUGUCUCUCUGAAUGGCACCAUAACUGCUACCUGGUUCAUUGAUCUCUGCUCUUAGCCCCACUGGCAAGCUCAAUCUUGCCCCAGGCUCUGGGACCAAUAUUUUCAAGUGGGGAAAUAAAGACACAGAAGUAAGACA